rnacentral:lncRNA from 1 species
GGUCCUGUAUUUUGUACUUUGUGUGUCUGAUCUGCAUCACCACUGUACCCCUCACUGUUAUCUGUCCUGUUUAUCCUCCUGUCUUAGGAGGUGUGUCAUUAGAGAGCUGCUUUACCUGCCCUGCAGGUCACUUCUGCUCCACUGAGGGUCUGGCCAGCCCCAGUGGUCCCUGUGCUGCUGGUUUCUAUUGCCCCUUUGACUUCUCUUCGACCACUCCUUAUGCCUUCCUCUGUCCCAAGGUAAGGUUCUGUUUCUCUCUGUACUCCCUCUUCCAGUGAAUUGCCUUCCCCGUCCUUCCCUUUUCUAUUGUUUUUAUUGUUUUCCUCACAGUAUCUCUCCUAGAGGCACUUGUGCCAAGCUGAUUAUUAUUUAUGUCCUGGUGCAUAGAGUGCCACCCCUCAGUUGCGCCUUUGUCACUUAAAUUCCCUUGUAGGGCCACUACUGUCCAGAAGGCUCUGCCCUGGCCCUGCCUUGUCCCACAGGAGAGUACCAGCCGAACCCAGGCUCAGAUAGCUGCAUCCCAUGUCGACCUGGAUUCUACUGCGAGGAGGCCAUAGGGGGAGAUCCAUGGACCUGCCCACCACACUCAUUCUGCCCUGCAGGUCCUCUAAAAGGAUGGUUUCAAAUACAGAGGAUGGCAACUUUAAUUUUAUCUAUGUAUUACAUAAUUCAGCCUCAGAAAGAAUGCAAAAUAGACCAAAAAUGUGCUCCCAGUUUUGUGUUUCACUUAAAAAAACACUUUCCUUUGUGGUAAUCAUUGUGUAAUAAAUCAUGCUGUCAGUCUUUGUUUUAAUGUAAUGCAUUUUUUUACAGGCACCAUGGUGCCUCAGCCCUGCCCUAAUGGGACAUACACUCAUUCAAACCAAGGAGGCCUACAAGAAGAGAGAGAGUGUUUACCCUGCCCCCCAGGGAAGUUCUGCAGGACCGGUAGGAUCCAGGGUGUGUGUGCUGCAGGCUAUCUUUGUAUUUCUGGGAGUGCAGAUUUCACCCCCCAGGGAGCCAUAUUGAACCUGACCCAGUGCCAGUGGGGCAUGCAGUGUGCUGGACCAUGUCCUCCAGGUAUUUACACAGAUUUUCAUACAUUAUUCUGAAAUUAUUUUACGUGAGGGAUCAGAGGGUUCAUUUUUUCUUUAAACUAUUUAGAAUUCAUUGUUUGUAUUCUUUACUCCAGGUUUUUACUGUCCAAUGGGCACAGAGGAGGCAGAAUUGUGUCCUGCAAAUACUUUCAGAAGUUCCCCAGGAGGUGCCAGUGUACAGGACUGCUUACCCUGCCCACCUCAGCACUGGUGUAAACCUGGUACGGGCUAAGUGUGUUUAAGAGCUACUGUAAUCGGGUUUUUACAAGAUAAAAGUGCAGCAUAAAAUACACGAUUUAGCUGUGAAGACUCAAAGCAGGAACAACAUUGUAUAGUUUGAGCUCUGACAGAAAAUAUUUAGUGUUUUUAUGGGCCUAUUGAUAAAUAAGUAGAUACCGGCAGGAUCUAGUUAUUGGAUAACAGAUAAAACCUGAAGCUGAGAAUUAGAAACAUGCAUUAAGAAUAAAGACUAAUCCCGGGCUCGUGCAGCGUUAACAGACCAGAAAUGUCGCCUGUGCAAGUGCUUGAUGAGCCUUAUAUCGUUUGUUUGCAGGAGAGCCAGUCCUUCGCCUGUGUCCUGCCGGUCAUUACUGUGACGGUCUGCGUGGCAGUGACUUCAGUGGGGGGACUGGACCCAGACCAUGUCCUCUGUUCACCUAUCGAGCUUCACCUGGAGCAGGCAGCAAGGGUGACUGCCUGCCAUGCCCUCCCGGUUCACACUGUAACAGCACAGGUCCGAAACACUGCAUCUCAAACAACAGAAGAUGAAUGAUUAUAUAAGAUUACCUAAAAUUACUUCUACAAAUGUAAACAAGUCCUUUCCAUGUAUUCC